GUGCAGGGAACUAUUUCUGAAAAAUUGGUUGAAUAUAAAGGGAACACAGGCGGAUCAAGCCAUUUUAAAAAGGGGUUCCUAACCCAGGACAAAAAAAAGGGGGAUUUAUAUAGGGAACACACAAUCUUACCGCUUUUGAAUCCGCCACUGUGGAAUCACUGAAUAAUGACUAGAGAGGGCCCCUACUUUAUGUAAAUUUCUAGAUCCGCCAGGGUCUGUGAUAAAUUUAAAUCUAAAUAAGCUAUUGUUAUUUAUUACGUUAAGUAGGUCAACAGCUCAUCUAGCUAAUAAAUAUAUUGUUGUGCCUUUUUAUGUAUAUGGCUCUGAUCUGGUUGUAGAUUAACAUCUAAGAAAUAGUUAAAUUCAUGUUUAUGAUUUGUG
rnacentral:lncRNA from 1 species